GCUUCUCUAGUCCAAUUCUCGUUUGGCAAAUGGAGAAACUGAGUCUUGGGGCGGGAAGGAGACCAGGUCACUCUGCAAGCCCAGCUGAGCUGGGACUCCAGCUUCCUCCCUCUCCUGGCUGAACUCUGCCUCUGGGCUUUUUGCCAGCAGCCAACGCUCAGGCCAAGCAGGACACAUGCGCCAUCUUAGUGCCGGCUCCCAGGCAGAGGCUGGCACACUCCUUUCUUAACCUAGCGUGGUGGGUUUCAGCAGCCCAGGUAGACACCUGGCGAAACCCAAUCUCAGAGAGGGCAAGAGAUUUGCCUCAAGAGGUAAUGGGUGGCCAUCACUCCCAAUGAGCAGAGCCUCGUCCAAAACGAGCCAUCCAGCAAUCGGGAGGAAGAAGGCGGGGUAACGGGGAGGUGGGAGAAUUACGCCUCAGUAUACAACGAACAAUGCAUUCGGGUGGGUUCAAGAGCACCCGGAACUGGCCAGGCGCCACGGAAAAGUCGGGGGAAGCAAAGACCAUCUCUGCAAAACCCAAAGCCAACUGGCCUUCGCCUAUGAUAGACGUGGAACAAUGGCUCGGAGACCUUUGGCCACUUCCUGUCCCACAUCUUGGCACUGGCGUCAAGAAAAGCAGCCCACGUCUUAGGCCUCACAGACCGAAACCGCUCAUCUCCCUGGCCCCACCGGAACCGCCAGUCCCUAGUUUUCAGGUAUGUCACAACCUGUGAUGGAGCAAAGGUUGCUGUGGUGACCAGUAGAACCCUUAUCCCGUAGCCAUAGCAACGAAAUCAGGAGACACACUGAGACAGCCAGGUGAGGAUGCUGGGCCUGCCGCUCUUCACCAGAGACUGUGAGGUGGAGGGGUUGCCAGCCCCCAACCUGAUGGUUUGCUCGCUCCCGGCUGCCUCCCCUGAGUUCACAGAAGGAAGGGAAACUGAAGGCAGGACUCCAUGAUGCUGUCCUUUGUAAGGCCAUCCCGCAGAGAUGUGGGACUUUUGGGUGACACGGCUCUUUCUGAGUCAUCCAUGCUCUGUAAAUCCCCCUUCACUGUGCUGCUAUGAGGAAGCCAAAAUGGCCUGUCAGUCCACCAAGCUGGACUCAGGUGGGGUUCUUUCUUUCUUUCUUUCUUUCUUUCUUUCUUUCUUUCUUUCUUUCUUUCUUCCUUCCUUCCUUCCUUUUUCUUUCUUCCUUCCUUUCUUUCAUUCAUUCAUUCAUUCUUCUUUGUUUGUUUGCUUGAGACAGGGUUUCUCUGUGUAGCCCUGGCUAUCCUGGAACUCACUCUCUGCAGACCAGGCUGGCCUCAAACUCACAGUGAUUUACCUGCCUCCUGAGUGCAGAGAUUAAAGGCGUGCACCGCCUCAUCCAGCUGGGACUCUUUAAAUACCUCGUCGGUGGGCUGUCUUUGUUCCAUAUUCCCAGGAAAAGCAACAUAGCAGCUAUGGCAGGAUCUCCAGCUACCUCUGGCUGAGCUGCUUCAGCGCCCAUGUCUUCUCCACCAUGAUAAAAUGUGGCCUUGAACCUGAGAUCUCACGCCAUCCUCUCUUCCGUUGGGUCCCUCUGCCAUCCAUUUUGUCACAGGUCCUGACAGUAGGUCCCUUGUAUAGCCUCAGCAUCCAGGCACUGCCUAGCCCAUUUCCCACAGCACCUGGCUCUGCCUUCUGACUGGCACCUGGGAGAAUGACAAGACCCGGUUUGUUUCAGUAGCGGCUGUUUCUAAAAUGUCACAUCUCCUCCAGACAGAAGUGAGACCACAGCACCGUCAGACACGUCACUACAACCUCUACAUCAGCAAGGGACAUACAGAGCCACAGAGAGGAAUAGGGGCUUGCUCAAGCCUGCCAGCAAGGGCCAGUGGACACAGACCCCAGGCUCUUCCCACCUAGACAAACAGUCCCCAAAGGAGACUGGCCCAGAAAGACCAGAACGAUUGUAUGUUUAAGGGAUACAUGCAAAAUGGGAAAUUCAUGCCUGAAGAAGUCUCCUAGGGUGGCCAAAUGUUGUGGGUCCUGAGCCCACAGAGCAGCGUGAAUUUCAGAGCCAUAGAUAAUAAUGGCCGCCGGGAAUCAGUGGUCUGUGCCCUGCUGUAGGAUAAAAGGCCAGUCUUUGAGAAGGGUCUGUCUCCGUGAGCCUAGGUCCAGCUCUCACAGUUGCACUUGACAGGUAGGUACAGGUUGUAGUGGUUUGGAUGACAUUGGCCCCCAUCCUAUGUUUCAAUUCUUGGUCCUUAAUUGGCAGGACUGAUUGGUGUGUCACUGGGGGUGUGCUCUGAGGUUUCAAAAGAUCCGUGCCAUUCUCUGUCUCUCUGUGCCUCCUCCUUCUACAUCAAGCUGAGAGCUCUCAGCUGCUCCGGCCCUCCUGUCUUUGCUCUGCCACCCAUCAGAGACUCUAAGCCUCUGAAACUGUAAGCACAAUUAAACACGUUCUUUAUAAACGGCCUUG